rnacentral:rRNA from 1 species
AGUGAACGCUGGCGGUAGGCCUAACACAUGCAAGUCGAACGGCAGCACAGGAGAGCUUGCUCUCUGGGUGGCGAGUGGCGGACGGGUGAGGAAUACAUCGGAAUCUGCCCAGUCGUGGGGAUAACGUAGGGAAACUUACGCUAAUACCGCAUACGACCUUCGGGUGAAAGAGGGGGAUCGCAAGACCUCUCGCGAUUGGAUGAGCCGAUGUCGGAUUAGCUAGUUGGCGGGGUAAUGGCCCACCAAGGCGACGAUCCGUAGCUGGUCUGAGAGGAUGAUCAGCCACACUGGAACUGAGACACGGUCCAGACUCCUACGGGAGGCAGCAGUGGGGAAUAUUGGACAAUGGGCGCAAGCCUGAUCCAGCCAUACCGCGUGGGUGAAGAAGGCCUUCGGGUUGUAAAGCCCUUUUGUUGGGAAAGAAAUCUUUCAGGCUAAUACCCUGGGAGGAUGACGGUACCCAAAGAAUAAGCACCGGCUAACUUCGUG